GCACUUUGUGUAGGGCUGGGAGGCAUAGUUGAGGAAAUAAAAAUGUAAGUUAAAGCAUACAUUGAACAUUGCUUCGCUAAGGGUAGCAAGCGUAAAAUCUUUCAACAUAACAUAUUUAAACAUUUAGGAUAUUCACAUUGCCAUCUAAGGCUUUUAGGUACCCGAUACGUGUCUUAUCUGUGCAUGUAAUACUGUGUGUCCGAGAAUGGGUUGGUUCAGGGAGUCGUUGGCCUGCUGCUUAAGCUACCUUAUCAUUUGGG